AGCGAACCUGGCUGCUGCCUCCUGCAAGAUUCAGCAGUUGAUGUGUUUAAGAUUGCUGUGGGAAGUUCCAGGCUGAAAGCUCUUAUGAAAUCCUGCCCGUUGGGUAGCUCACCAUCCACCCUGUGUGAAUUGUCCUGACUUGAGAAAACAGAAUGCUGGAGGCCAGUGAGUUUGUUGAGAAACUGGCAGCCCAGCAGACAUGCUGAGCCAGCAGGACACCAGCGGGAACUGAAGGUCUUUGUACCGGGAAGAAAACAGUGCUUUUUCCUUGAAGGAGAGGAGCCCUGGCACUUGGAAGGCCCUUGGCUUGCCAAGCAACUCUGUCCAUCGAUUCUGUUUUCACGCCCCGAGGAAUACGGAAUGGGAAGAGAGGAUCCUGGGGAGCGAGCUUUGGAAACUCGGCCCGCCGGCCCGCCCGCCCGGGGAAGGCCGAGAGCCGGCCCGGCUGCCGCGGGGGCUGUGUCCCGGGCGGGGCCGCGGCGCGAGGAGGGCGGGCGGCGCUGUCAGCGGUGGGCGGCGCCCGGAGAAGCGCGCUCCGGGCCAGCUGGUGGCUCAGCGGCAGCGCCGCGAACGGUGACAGGUUCUGCAAAUAACAGCUGCGGAGCAAUCUUUCUGUUUGGACAACGUGGGAAGGGCCAUUGUUCACAAAUUGGUCUCUUCAACAACACCUGCAUGCACAGAUAAUAAUCCAUUGUCGGUCUCCGGCUUUCAAAGACAAAAGACAGCCGCAGAGGGAGGAGCGAGCAGUUACUGGAGACAGUAGAGCAACUGCUGAACCGAGGAGAGUGCAAACGGGGACUCCAGGUUCUGUUCCUGGAUCCGCCGGGGACAAUAACUCACAGUAGGGCUCUGUUUCAUUGGCCGGUAGUGAGCGCCACCUCUUUCAUCCUUGCAGGCCACCACCGCCGCCACUGCAAUCCUCAUUUCCUAUGCAGUUACAAAGCGUGCUCCCUUGCAAAUCAGCGAUCAAUACUGGGAAUAGUACUACCCCUUGAGGUUUCUCUACACCUUGACUGCUGCUGUGCCGGGUCACAUUGGAGCUUGAGGCAAAAGGAAAUAAUGGUCAAGUAUGACAUUCCCGGGAGAAUGGAUCAGAUUAGCUCAACUUGAGGCGAGUAGCCAUCUUGGUACCAAGCAACUAUGACCAGAGGACAGGAUCUUGUGGUUGAGCGCCUACUGGAAGCCCAUCCCUGAAGAUGGAAAAUAGAGAUUUCUAGAGAAGAGGAAUUGCUUCCAGAGAAAGAGGGACCUGCUACAUGGCAGUGCUGGCUGUUAAACCAAAGUAAUAUUGUCCAUGUUUUAUAUUUUGCUUGAUCUUCAAUUGUCAAGAGUAAACACCCAACAAUGUUCCACUCAGUGAAUUCUGUAGAUUAAUGCCUCCAAGUGCAAAAGUGGUAAAAAUGAAUGCAAUUUGAAAUUUAUUCUUUAUGUAAGUAGUGUCUGUGAGAAGGGAGUGGGGAUUUGUUCACGAGCCACAGGCUUGUGCUCCAAAAUUCCACGUAAGAUAGAUCUGUUGUGGUCUAGUUCGAGGCUGAUGGUCUAACACAGCUUUUGCGCAUCUGAAAUACCAGGCUAAGAAUGGCAAACACGUGGACCCAUUAUUCUAUCUGUCGCCUGGCCCGUGGCAGACAUCACUAGUAGGCUAAUAAGCAGUAAGCAGAACUCAUUACUGAUAAGCUUCAGAAUCCUUCUCAACACUGCUCUCUAAGAAGCCAGCAUUAACUAAGCAGGUAGCACAUGAAAAAAACCCACUUGCCACUGCUGCCCAAGAGGCACGCUGGGUGACUUAUCACGGACCCACCAUGAGCUACUGGAGCCAGCAUUUUAUUGUCAUGCGUGAAAGUUUGGAUGGAGACUGCUGUUCUGAGCAGAUUAGAGGCAGGAUGCGGUCAAGUCAUCAAGGUAACUUCGCCAUCUGUGUUCUUGUUACAAAUCCAAGGAGUCCAGCCCAAGCCCUCUCCCCUGAGAAGGCUGGAACAGACAAAGGCCUACUUCUUGUUUAGUUGAAGGCAGGUGAGUGGUUCUGUUGGGUCACAGUUGAGAAGGUGGUUGAGUGAGCAGUCAUAGGCCUCUGGAGUCAGGCCUUCACGGGACGCUUCAAAAGGCCCAUUUCUUCCUGGGUCCCGGGUAGGGGCCAGCCAAGGAAGAGCCAUCAGAGAAGCCUGCCUCCUUUCCUCCCAGUGUCUCAGGCCUCCAUCCGCAGCAGUGCAGGCUUGAGGGGCCUGGCAGGCUUCCAGGCACAAACACUGCACAGUCGGGUUUUUUUUGUUUUUCAUUUUUGAGGAAGAUUAGCCCUGAGCUAACUACUGCCAAUCCUCCCCUUUUUGCUGAGGAAGACUGGCCCUGAGCUAACAUCCAUGCCCAUCCUCCUCUACUUUAUAUGUGGGAUGCCUACCACAGCAUGGCUUUUGCCAAGCGGUGCCAUGUCUGCACCCAGGAUCCAAAGCGGCGAACCCCGGGCCACCAAGAAGCGGAAUGUGCUCACUUAACCACUGCACCACUGGGCCAGCCCCUGCACGGUGGGUUAUGAAGCCAAACCUGAUGGCCUUGCUCAUCCCCUCGUGCCUCCUCCCUGCUCCCUGACAGUUAAGUGAAUGAAGUCCAGAAAGGUUAAGAGAUUCCAUCAAAGUCAUACAGGUAAUCAGUGAGUUCCAGGUUGCGUGAAGAGCUAGCGUUCAUGGUGUGCCUCUCUGAAGCCCUAUGAAAGACCAAGUUUCGUUGUUAUCCUGGUUUUACCUGUGAGAAAACCAAUGCCACACUGCCCAGGAAUUGGCUUUUGGAGGCUGAGAAGUCCCACCAUCUGCCAUCGGCAGGCUGGAGACCCAGGAAAGUCAGUGGUGUCAUUCGGUCUGAAGACCUGAGAACAAAGGGAACCAAAGGUGUAAAUCCCCGUCGGAGGGCGGGAGAAGAUGAGAUGCUCCAGCUCAGCAGUGAGGCAGAAAAAAGGGGCAAAUUCCUUCUUCCUCCACCUUUUGUUCUAUCCAACCCCCUAUCGGACUGGAUGAUACCUACCCACAGCGGGGAGGGCAAUCUACUUUACUCAGUCCACCAAUUCAAACGCUAAUCUCACCUGGAAACACCCUCACAGACACACCCAGAAAUAAUGUGUAAUCUGGGCACCUUGUGGGCCAGUCAACUUGAUACAGAAAAUUAGCCAUCACAAGUAUAUUCCUGUGAAAUCAUCACCUUGAACAUAUCCAUUUCCCUCAAAAAUCUCCUCAUGCCCCUUUCCAAUGGCUCCCUUCUGCCCAUCCUUACCUCCUCUGCCCCCCAGACAACCACUGAUCUACUUUUGGUCACUAUAGUUAGCUUUUCCUAGAAUUUUUUAUAAAUGGAACCAUGCAUUGAAUCUUUUCUGUCUGGCUUCUUUCAUUCAGCAUAAUUAUUUUGAGAUUCAUCCAUGCUGUUGCAUGUAUCAGUGGUUCAUUCCUUUUUUAUUACUGAGUAGUGUUCCAUUAUACGGAUAUACCACAAUUUGUUUAUUCAUUCCCCUGUGGAUGGACGUUUGGGGGUAAUUACAAAUAAAGCUGCUAUGAACAUUC
ensembl:lncRNA